rnacentral:rRNA from 1 species
UACGGAGGGUGCAAGCGUUGUCCGGAAUCACUGGGCGUAAAGGGCGCGUAGGCGGCUCAUGAAGGCUGUGGUGAAAGUCCGGGGCUCAACCUCGGAUCGGCCGUGGCGACUCGUGGGCUGGAGCACUGUAGGGGCAGAUGGAAUUCCGGGUGUAGCGGUGGAAUGCGUAGAGAUCCGGAAGAACACCGGUGGCGAAGGCGGUUCUCUGGGCCUUACCUGACGCUGAGGAGCGAAAGCGUGGGGAGCGAACAGG